CCUACGGGGGGCAGCAGUGAGGAAUAUUGGUCAAUGGACGAGAGUCUGAACCAGCCAAGUAGCGUGAAGGAUGACUGCCCUAUGGGUUGUAAACUUCUUUUAUAUGGGAAUAAAACGUUCCACGUGUGGGAUUUUGUAUGUACCAUAUGAAUAAGGAUCGGCUAACUCCGUGCCAGCAGCCGCGGUAAUACGGAGGAUCCGAGCGUUAUCCGGAUUUAUUGGGUGUAAAGGGAGCGUAGGUGGAUUGUUAAGUGAGUUGUGAAAGUUUGCGGCUCAACCGUAAAAGUGCAGUUGAAACUGGCAGUCUUGAGUACAGUAGAGGUGGGCGGAAUUCGUGGUGUAGCGGUGAAAUGCUUAGAUAUCACGAAGAACUCCGAUUGCGAAGGCAGUUCACUGGACUGCAACUGACACUGAGGCUCGAAAGUGUGGGUAUCAAACAGGAUUAGAUACCCCAGUAGUC
rnacentral:rRNA from 1 species